rnacentral:rRNA from 1 species
UACCAGCACCCCGAGUGGUCGGGACGAUUAUUGGGCCUAAAGCAUCCGUAGCCGGUCCUGCAAGUCUUCCGUUAAAUCCAGCUGCUCAACAGAUGGGCUGCGGGAGAUACUACAGGGCUAGGAGGCGGGAGAGGCAAGCGGUACUUUAUGGGUAGGGGUAAAAUCCGCUGAUCCAUAGAAGACCACCAGUGGCGAAGGCGGCUUGCCAGAACGCGCUCGACGGUGAGGGAUGAAAGCUGGGGGAG